rnacentral:piRNA from 1 species
CAUAUCCUACACAAGAGGUUUUUAACU